rfam:Haemonchus contortus, ISE/inbred ISE, WGS project CAVP01000000 data, contig: Hcontortus_41995
GUCUCGGUAGUGAAAGGUAUAGAGCAUGUUGUUCGGAAAGCACAAGUACGGGCUCGAGUCCUGUCCGAGACU